rnacentral:rRNA from 1 species
UUCCGGUUGAUCCCGCCGGACCUGACUGCUAUCGGAUUGAUACUAAGCCAUGCGAGUCUUUGCAGUAAUGCAAGGCAUACGGCUCAGUAACACGUAGUCAACUUACCCUAUGGACGAGGAUAAUCUCGGGAAACUGAGCAUAAUACUCGAUAGAUCAUAAUGCCUGGAAUGGUUUAUGGUUAAAAUGAUUCGUCGCCAUAGGAUGGGACUGCGGCCUAUCAGCUUGUUGGUGAGGUAAUGGCCCACCAAGGCGAUUACAGGUACGGGCUCUGAGAGGAGAAGCCCGGAGAUGGGUACUGAGACAAGGACCCAGGCCCUAUGGGGCGCAGCAGGCGAGAAAACUUUGCAAUGUGCGAAAGCACGACAAGGUUAAUCCGAGUGAUUUCUGCUAAAGGAAUCUUUUGCCAGUUCUAAAAAUACUAGUGAAUAAGGGGUGGGCAAGUUCUGGUGUCAGCCGCCGCGGUAAAACCAGCACCUCAAGUGGUCAGGAGGAUUAUUGGGCCUAAAGCAUCCGUAGCCUGCUCUGUAAGUUUUCGGUUAAAUCUAUAUGCUCAACGUAUAGGCCGCCGAAAAUACUGCAGUGCUAGGAAGUGGGAGAGGUAGACGGUACUUGGUAGGAAGGGGUAAAAUCCUUUGAUCUAUCGAUGACCACCUGUGGCGAAGGCGGUCUACCAGAACACGUUCGACGGUGAGGGAUGAAAGCUGGGGGAGCAAACCGGAUUAGAUACCCGGGUAGUCCCAGCUGUAAACGAUGUAGACUCGAUGAUGCAUUGGCAUCUAGCCAGUGCAGUGUCGCAGGGAAGCCGUUAAGUCUGCCGCCUGGGAAGUACGUACGCAAGUAUGAAACUUAAAGGAAUUGGCGGGGGAGCACCACAAGGGGUGAAGCCUGCGGUUCAAUUGGAGUCAACGCCGGG